GUUGCAAGAACAGCGUAGCGGGUGUGUAUAUUGUGUGCACGUGUGUCGCGCGGAUUCGCACGCCAGGACGAUCGAUAGCCGUCUGUUGUCGGGAUCGCGUCUUCCGGGAACGAGACGCAGAUCGUCGGGAAGCCCGGCACGUGCCGGCACCGUUCCCUCGAGCUACAAGCAUGCGAAAACCUAACCUAACCUGCAAAGGCGAACUGCGAAACGGAGACGCCUCGAGCCUUUGCUUCGAGAGGAUCCCGAAGCCUCGCCGACGGCGCGGACAAUCGCCAGCGACAGCCGUGCUAGGAUGCCGGUUGAUUGAAGAUGGCCUCGCCGACACCCUCACUGGAGUAGUGGAAUCGCGCGCAAAUUCCCUCGGGUCCCGGUCUUUAUUGAAGUCGUGUUGGCCGGACGGUCCCAUUCCGAGAAGUUCGCAGCCCAAUCGACACAAUUAUAAAUACACACCUAUAGUUUCAAAAUUAAACCUGUUUAUGGCUUUAUGGGCCAAAUACUGCCCGGUGCCAGCAACUUGAAAGAAGAAGAAGAAGAAGUAGACUCUCAUCGUGUCUCUCAUCCAGUGCGAUCCCUUUCCCAAGGCGAGUGUGGCGGAUCCGAAGGACGAGCGGACGAACGCGAAGCUGAGGCAAUUCCUGGAGACGCAUAUUUGAAAGAGAGACCCAACCCUUCAUUUUGACUAGCCAGGACGAUUUCGCGUCCGGUCGCGUUCUGGUGUAUUCUGUAGAUAACAUCCUGAAGAACAUCGCUGUAAAUAGAUGUACUGGUUGGGUGCGUUGUAGUCCAAUCCAUCAAAAAUGGAUUUAGAAGAAAUAAGUUAUGUGACUCUUUUUCUGUUAAUAUGGCAUCAAAAUAUAAUGCUACAACUUGCAAAUAAUCAGAGGAAAACCAGGCGUUGGUGGGUGAGACCUGUCAAUAGAAGGAAACGACAACAGGGUUUCCUGAAUAACCUAUUUCGGGAAAUGAGAUCAACUGAUCACGAAGAAUUUUUCACAUACACACGGCUUUACCCGGAACAAUACAGAACUUUAUUAGAGCUAGUAACACUAUAUCUUACAAAACGCAGCAUCCGAAAACCUUUGUCACCAGAUACAAGAUUAGCCGUAACCUUGACGUAUCUUGCCCAAGGCGAUAGUGUGGUAACGAAGCAUUUGGAGUAUCGUGUAGGAAGAUCAACAGUAUACAAAAUCAUACCAGAAGUGUGUCAUGUGUGUAUAAGUGUGUAUAAGUUUCUACCCAUAUAUAGGAAAUAGGCAAAAAUAAAAUAUUUUUAUUUGAAACAGAUUUUUUAAUUUAUUGAGAAUAUAUAUUUUACAUACAUUUAAUACAUAAAUUGUUUCAACAUAUCUAUACUUUAAACUUUGGUUAAAGUUGAUCACAAUUGUACUAAAGUACAUAAAAAACUAGUAUUACAGUUUAGAAAAGAAAAAUUGUAAUAUCUUGGCUUAUACGUCUAUCAAUAAAAAUAUUUCAUAAUUAUGAAGUAGAAGGAAUAUAAAGUAAGAUAAUAUGUAUUAAAAUAAACCGUUUUCCAUAAUGUACAGUAACUAUAAUACUUGAAAUAAAACUCUAUAAUUUAGA